rnacentral:lncRNA from 1 species
CUUUGCACUUUUUACUACCAGCAAAAUGACAUGAUGGAUCUGUGAAUAUAUUCACUCAUUUUCCACCUUUUAAUAAAUAUGCUGGGGUAACACAAGCAUUAACGAUGAUGAAAGGGACUCCUAACAUCCAUGGGAAAUAUGUGAAAGUCAAGUGAAGUUAUCAUUUCCCCUCAACUCAAAGGAACACCUAAAAGUAUUAGAAGAUUUUACAGUAUUCCACAUUCAAGACAGACUGAACUCAUUGAUGGCAAAAUUGGAGCAUCAGCCAUCAAGCCUUGACCAUGGUAUGUUAUAUUAUUUUAUGUGUUGGGACGACUUAGUUAUAAGUACUUCGUGUUGAACAGUAUUUUGAACAUUCCAAAAAACGUUGUUGGUGAAUGGCCAAAGAAAAAGGUCUUCACAUAUAACUUCCCAAAUUGGAAAGCACUUUUGUAUCACUAAGAAAUACUUUUGUCUCCAGUUGCUGCAAACAUCACC